ACAAUGAUACUUCUCUACGGAGCCGGUGGCGUACCCAGCGGGGGCGAGAACCCAUGA
rnacentral:ncRNA from 1 species